rnacentral:snRNA from 14 species
AUACUUACCUGAUCUUAUUUCAAAACAUGAUCAUUUAAACAGGUGUUUUGAAAGACAUAGGUUAUCAGACCAUCGCACCAAGGGUUUGGCUUAUGUGUGUCGUAAAGACAUGGAUCUAAUUUGUGAAUUUUGUGGUUUAUAGCGUUCGCGCUUAAACCGC